CGUCCCGGCGCGGGCCCCGGAAAGGAAGGGAAGCUCGGGUGCCUGCCAGGCCCUGCAGGUGGCCGGGUCGCAGGCCGGCCGCGGGAGCAGCGGUAACUUUACCCGCUGGCGACAGCAGCUGGUCGGUAUCUCGAGGCCGGGCUCUCGGCGACCCAAGGGGCCGGGUUUCGUACAACCAAGGCCUCCAGCUGACAAAUCUCGGGCCAGGGUCCUUGAGGACUGGCGGGUAGGUGAGGGUUAUGUGGUCUUUGGUGGCUGGAAGGAGGAGGGGGCUCACUGAGGCGGGAGAAGACCUGGGAAAGGUGCUGCAGGCUGCAGCUGGGUUAUUGGAGUGUUGAGUGAAGGCGCCCUUACUCUAGUGAUUUCUCCCGCCCUUCUCCCCAGAUGGUUGUAGUUUAAAAAGCUAGGGUCAGGAUGUUGAACACUACUGCCUGGGCUUCUUCCUUUCAGAUGGUUACGAAUAAUCAGCCUACUUCCUGAAUCCAGAAUCUUAAUUCUUGGUUUGCUUUUAAAAGGAUUUUUGGAACAGGGCUUACUUGUUGCCUCCUGCGAAAGCUCCUCAUUUUGAAAGAACUCGUCCGUUCUACACUUCCCUUUUUGCAGUCCCCUCGGAAAAGCACACUAAAUAAGAGUUACAUUAAAAACCAGCUUUUAGGUUAUUUGUAAACGAUUUCUUGCCCUUCCAUUU
rnacentral:lncRNA from 1 species